rnacentral:rRNA from 1 species
GGGUAGUUUGACUGGGGCGGUCUCCUCCCAAAGAGUAACGGAGGAGCACGAAGGUUGGCUAAGCAUGGUCGGACAUCAUGCGGUUAGUGCAAAGGCAUAAGCCAGCUUGACUGCGAGAGUGACGGCUCGAGCAGGUACGAAAGUAGGUCUUAGUGAUCCGGUGGUUCUGAAUGGAAGGGCCAUCGCUCAACGGAUAAAAGGUACUCCGGGGAUAACAGGCUGAUACCGCCCAAGAGUUCAUAUCGACGGCGGUGUUUGGCACCUCGAUGUCGGCUCAUCACAUCCUGGGGCUGAAGUAGGUCCCAAGGGUACGGCUGUUCGCCGUUUAAAGUGGUACGCGAGCUGGGUUUAGAACGUCGUGAGACAGUUCGGUCCCUAUCUGCCGUGGGCGUUGGAAGAUUGAAAGGGGCUGCUCCUAGUACGAGAGGACCGGAGUGGACGCACCACUGGUGUUCGGGUUGUCAUGCCAAUGGCAUUGCCCGGUAGCUAAGUGCGGAAGAGAUAACCGCUGAAAGCAUCUAAGCGGGAAACUUGCCUUGAGAUG